rnacentral:misc_RNA from 1 species
GGCAAAGCAAUCUUUUGUUUUAUAGCAACAUAAAAAACAACAAUUUAACUUAUACGAAGUACAGAGCCAACUGAGGUUGGCUCAUUUAUUCCAACCAUACGUAAUUCUAAAUGGGGAUUAUGAACGUAAUUUCUUUUUGGAUUAUUAAAAUCCAAAGAGAAAAAUAUUAUUCCACUUAAUAGCAAUCUUAAUUAGGGUUAAAAAACAUAUUUUACCAUGCCAGGAAUA